AAUUGCCCUUCCUUUGGAGCGCGUGGUUUGGGGGUUGAACCGCCUAGCUAAGCAAGAUGAGUCCAAAUACUUGGCGAUGUUCCUAGCCCAUGCACCCCAACCGAGGACAGCACUGAUGGCUGCCCUUGGUACCAGACUUGACCGAGGACAGUGAGGCCGCCGCGAGGGCUUCCCGCUCUGACGCCCCGCCUUCUGGCAGCCCCAGGGCAGGAAAGCGCCGGCGACGACGGGUCUCCGAAGCCCGGUGGUGGAAACCCCCGGAAGAAAGCAGUCAAGAGAUCUGAUCGCUCGUUGCGGCCGCCGCGCCAGCACCAAGCACUACGUCCUCCUCUCCCUUCCACCCAGUUUUGCACGGAGCGCCUGGCUGCCCGCGCGCCUGGGGCUGGGCAGGUCCCGGCGGGCGGUGCAGCCUCCCCUCCCCCCGGGGCUCUUCGCGAAUCACGUUGUUCCUGGGAUUUCACGAUCUAGUGGCUCUUGCGUAACCCUAUGC
ensembl:lncRNA